CUUUUCUUUGCUUUUUUUUUUUAAAACCUUAGCUUUGGAUGGGGGGGAGGUAUCAAGGCUAGUCCUUUGAGGAAAAGUUCUGUGGGAUUAAGAGCUGUCAUAUCACUUCUCAGGACAGUGUCUCAUGGGAUCCUCCAAAAAAAACCGCCUGUGCUGCAGGAGUGGGGGAGGGAGGUUAUCACUGAUUUUACAGAUGAGGAAGGCUGAGUCACAGAGCAGAUAUGUGAUUUAUCCCAUACAGGCAGGCCUGGGACUAGACAACAGGCUCAUUCCAUAAUCUUGUCAAAGUGGACACAGGUUUCUUCUGGAAAGUAGCUGAACAGCUCCCCUCCCCCCACCGGAUCCCUGCAGAAGGCGUCAGUGGGGACCUUAACGUGAGAAAUUAAGUCAGGCUAAAGGAAGAACCUUGGUGUCUGGGUGACUAAAGCCAUGUUUGAAAUCGGGCUUCCUAUCACUUCUUUUUUUUUUUUUAAACACUACAAACAAGUGAAGUUUAUUCUGGAAAUGCAAGCAUAUCACUUCUGAUGGUUUCUAAGCUUUGCCAAACUUCGGUUGGAUGGUUGCUUGGUUGGAUGGUUGCUUGGUUGCUUGGUUGGAUGGUUGCUUGCCAGGGGGAAAAAACAUGUAAAUAUAGAGUGGUCAUCUUCUUGACUAUUCCUUUGGAAUUUUAUUUGUUUACAAACUCAUCUUGCCGCCUUUUGGAGGAUUUUCUCUAGGCCAUUGAAGUUCGAAUCUGUCAAGGCUAGAAGUGUUUGUAUUCUUGUGGAAACACAGCUCUUUUAAAUCCAUUGUUUUAAAAGUCACUUGGAGCAUUAAAAACCUCAGGUCAUCAAUUCCUAGUGUGAAAAUUUAGGAGUGAUUGGGGCUUCAGGCAAGCAAUAUCGACUUAAAUGUGUAGAGCACUUUAAGAGAGCAUUUGAUUGUACAUCUUAAAACAAGGAAUGCAAAUUGAAAUUCCUCCUGGGUGCUUUAACUCAUGCAUUAUAUGUGCAGUAUUUUCAAUUAGCUGCAGAAAAAAAGUACAUUUGAGUGUGGGUCUGUUUUUACAGCUGGGAAUUGCUCUGAGAACACAAUUGACUAUUUCAUACAGGUGAGAUUUAUUUAAAUGACUCAUGGGGCAUUUGCAGUUUAACCCAUAAUUGAAAAUAUUGUUGCAAUGUGGCAGGUAAAAGUAGGAAGUCAUUUUGCAUUCCUGAGGAGGUACUCCCAGCUCAGUAGAGGGAAGUGGACAGGAAGUGAAAACUGAGUUGAGGUUCUCUCCUUCACAUUUCAUUCCCCAGCUGUGCCUUGCCAGGGAAAGAAAGAGAACACUCUGCUGCCAGAGGAUGCCAUGGUACGGUGCUCUUAGCAAAGACCCAAAAAUUCUCUUGUCUCUCUCUCCUGUUUUCAUGUACCGGACACAUGUGGAAGACCAAAUCAGAGGUGCAGGGCCCCAUCCUUCCCCCAACUCUCUGCUUCCCCACUGUUCUUUGCCUCCUGUUUCACAUGAGCCAUCACAUUGAUACAGAAAGCUUGGUUGACUCUCUUAGGAUGGACCAACCAGCCCUGCCGUAUUGGCUCAUAAUUGUUCCUGGGGAUUCGGAAUGCAUGUUUCCACAGAAAUGAUGUUGCCAAUGGUGGUUAGGCAAAUAACACUGUGUCAAAAUGCAUUCUUGCUCCUGUGAUUCAGCCAGAGCAUGGGUUAAUUAGGCAUUUUGUGGGCAGAAUUAAAGUCUUAAUCACCGGCUUUUAAUUUUUCUCUGGAUCAGUGGUUGUCAACCAGGGGCAGCCCCCCUCCCCCACCAAGAACAUUAGUCAACAUCUACAGACAUUUGGUUCUCACAACUGGGUGAGUGAUGCUACUGGCAUCUGGUGGGUAGAGGCCAAUGGUACUGCUAAGCAUCCUACAAUCCACAAGGCAGCUCCUACCACACAGAACUAGAGACCCUGGGAAAUUCUAGAAUUUCCUAUUAAAAAAAAAAAAAAAGAAAGAAAAGAAAAGAAAGAAAUGACUUCCCAAAAUUCUUUAGAUCACAGCCCACUUGUAAGACGCUGCCUUCUAUAAUGGACAUCAGUACGUGAGGUGAAUCCUGGUGACUGCCGAAGCCCUGGCAUCUUCAUGGAUGCCUUGGUUAUGCAGAGCACCUUGGUGUCCUGUGUGCCAUGUUGGAUGCUGGGGAAGCAUGGAGAAAAGGUCCCUGCCCUUCCCAAAGGCACAGAGAGACAGAGAGGUGACAAAUGUCAUCAGAAGGGGCAUGAAUAUGGAGGCCAAGGGCUGCAAAGAGCCUGGCAGGGUCUGUGAACUGCCAGGGGGAAAGUAGCUAUAGAAGGAAGCCAGAUCCAGACUGGGGACUGGGCUGAUCAGGUUGUGGGCUGUGGGAGGGUAAGAGCUCAGAAAAGCCAUUGCAGGUUGGAUGCAGGUCUUGGCGCUGAGGGUCAGGGUCCACCCCUCCUAUCAGCCUGGUCACUGGGCAGUGCACACAGGGGGUUGGGUGUAGGAAAUGCACGUCCUCUUCCAGGAAUGCCAGUGGUUCAGUGGGCACAAAGGAGGCAGAAAGAAUAGACAUUCACGAACCAUCUGGGAAGCAGAAGGACGGAGCUUGAUGGUUAAAUGUGGGCAGGGUGAGGGUGGAGGAGGACUCCCAGCCUUACUGCUGAGAUUCUUGGGUGGACGUGGAGCUGCACCCACUCAGAUGGAGAAACUGGGGGAACAGCACAUUCAGAGAGGAGAAGUACUCUUUCCUCCCAUUGUAGAAUUUCUAAGAAAAUGGGUAACGGGACUUGUUUAUGUCUUUCCACCCAGUGUUUCUUUAGACUCUGUUCUGUUAGCCAGAAUCUCAGCUAUUUCUCCUGGAUUACUAUGUCUUCCUUCCAGUUACCAUCGUGAGAGUGAAACUGACAGCAGAACGGGGAUUGGGACUUGAAUCCCCAUGCCAGCACUCAAACCCAGCCUAAACCGAGAUUGGGACUCGAACCCACGGUUUUUAAUUUACAAUCAUUCACCUGAUGUCUGGACUUCUUGAGGUUUAGGUUCUUUGUGUCGCAGUGCAGAAGGAAUUCAGCAGGAGACAAAGUGAUAGGCAAGAAGUAGAUUUAUUAAGAUAGGACCUUGCGAGAGAUGCAAGCGGGCCAGAAAGGAGGCUCUGCCCCCAGGAUGAGGUGGGCUUCAGUUUUAUAGUCCUAGGGAGUGAGGGUGGGAAAAUACCACCUCUUCCUCUUUCUUUGAGUAGUGGCUCCACCUUGGUAAUUGGUAAGAGAGUAUUUGACCCUCUAAGGUCAAACUAGGACUGUCAUGGUGCUUAUUCAAAUCAGCCGAAGGGCAGUCCUUUAAUUCCUGCCCUUGAUCUGACCCUGAAUACUGGCCUCACCCCGCCCCCACCCAAUGACCUGAGGCGUACCUCCGCUAAUCAAGCGAGCCUGCCUUGUUCUGAUGGCCUCUUGAGCAAUUAUUAACGGACAGUGAUCUCCCAAAGUCCCUCUCUAUGGUCCCUUAUUGGGACUUCCACAGCUACCUGUGCAACUGUUCUACUCCAUCCCUGUCAAUAAGCCUUCCAGUGUGCCUCAGAAUCAUUUCUCAAUGGUCUCCUUGAGCAAUCAUUAAGCAUUUUUCUGGAUUAGAUGUUUCCUCCAUCAUAAGCUAAUAAACCAGUGACAAGGUUCGGCUUUUCCAUAGGGACUUCUGAGAUGGGCUUACCUGACCUGGCUGUACUAACUCUUAUUAAAUUGUGUUAGUCUGGAGUUCCCAUCGUGGCUCAGUGGUUAAUGAAUCCGACUAGGAACGAUGAGGUUGUGGGUUUGAUCCCUGGCCUCACUCAGUGGGUUAAGGAUCCGGCGUUGCCAUGAGCUGUGGUGUAAGUGGCAGAUGUGGCUUGGAUCCCGCAUUGCUGUGGCUCUGGCAUAGGCCGGCAGCUACAUCUCCGAUUAGACCCCUAGCCUGGGAACCUCCAUACGCUGCUGGUGCGGCCCUAGAAAAGACCAAAAAAUAAAUAAAUAUAAAUAAAUAAAUCAUGUUAGUCAAAUCCUGUCCUGUUUCAUUUUCAGCUGGUAGGAAGCACUUUUCCUUGGUCAUGAGCCUGGCACUUGUAGAAGAAGCACCAGGAAGAUCACCAGAGCCUGGCACCUGUUUUCUAAGUCACUCAAUGACCAUCAGUCUUUUCCUGACCCCGUCACCAGGGCCACUCAAGGUGGCUGUCCAGGGUCUGGCUGCUGACCCCAGGAGGACCAGGCCACCUAGGUCACAGGGUUUCAGAACGUUGCAUCCCUCCUGUGGCUAAGCAAUGAAGGAAAUGGCUCACAACUGAAUGAAAGAUCUUGAGUAAAGAGAAAAGACAGCUUUAAAAAUUCCCCUUAGUUUUCAGAAAUUGGAAUUUGAGGAUAUUUUGCAGUUGGGGAACUGUUGGGAUGGACUGGCGUGUAGACCUUAAGAGGCUGAGGAGAGACCCCCAAAGACCCCCCCCCACCCAGGCCCCCAUGAUAAUGGCAGUAAUGGCAGCUUGGUUGAGCCCUUAGUGUUCAAGAACUGUCCAAAGAACUUGAGAUGUAGCACCCUUUUUUAUUCCUCACAACAGCCCAUAAGCAGGGAUGACUGUUCUUCAUUGUACAGAUGAAGAAACUAGACACAGUGAAGUUCAGUACUUGUCAAGAGUCAUAGAGUGAUUGCUGGGGGACCUGGUUAUAUUAUAACUGGAGUGGUUUAUCUCGGAAGCCUGCAGAGACCAAAAAUCCUAACAACUGGUACCCUCUGGAAACAAUUAAUUACGAAAAGGCACAAUUAUGCAAAAAUGUAUUUUUAAUCUUUUUUUCAGAAUAUUGACAUUUUGAGUGUGCUUGCAAUAUUAGGAAAAGAAUUAAAUAAAAAGAUCUGUCUCAAGGUGCAUUUGUUUGCUGAUUAAAAUUUUAAAAUAGGGGUUUUUUAUUUUAAGGUAGUUGUAGAUUCACACGCAAGUUACAAAACACAAUAGAGAUCCCACAGACCCUUCACCCAGUUUCCCCAAAGGUAUCAUCUUGCACAACCAGAGUUCACAGCAAUAAAGAAACCACAGCUAGGACAGUGACAUUGUACAAUCCAUCCACCUUAUUCAGAUUUCAGCAGUUUUACUCAUGUGUGUACACGUGCGCAUGCUCUGUGUGUGUGUGUGUGUGUGUGUGUACUUCUUUCUAUGCAGUUUCAUCGUGUCGUAGAUUUGUGUCACCAUCACAGUCAGGACACAGAACCAUUCCAUCACCACGACCCCUCAUGUCAGCUGUUUAUGGUCACAUCCACCCACCUCCCUCCCAGCCUCCCCAAUUCCUGGCUACCACUAGUAUGUCCUCCAUCUGUAUAAUUUUUGUGAUUUUGUAAUCAUACAGCCUGGAGCCUUUUGUAGUUGACUUUUUUCGGUCGGCGUAAUUCCCUUGAGACCCAUUCCAGUUGGCAUGUAUUUAAAUAGCUUGCCCCUUCUUACUGCUGACUAGCGUUCCAUGGUAUGGCUGUAACAUGGUGUAUUUGACCAGUCCCUCACUGAAGGACGUAUGGGUUGUUUCCAGUUUGGGGGCUGUUACAAAUAACACUGCUAAAAACACAGGUGCAGGUUUCUGUAUGCAAAUGAGUUUCCAUUUCUCUGAGAUAAAUGUCCAAGUUUGCUGGAUCGUAUGGUUAAAUGCAUGUAAGAAACUGCCAAACUGCUCUCCGGAAUGGCUCUACCAUUUUACAUUUCCACCAGCAGUGUGAAUGGUCCAGUUUCUCUGCAUCUUGUCCAGUAUUUGGCAUUGCCGCUGGUUUUUACUUUAGCCAUGCUGAUAGGCUUGUAGUGACAGCCCAUAGUGUUUUUAAUUUGCAUUUCCCUAGAGUUACCACUGGGGCACAGUGGUUUAAGAAUCCAGCUGCAGCAUCUUGAGUUACUGCAGAGGCGUGGGUUCAAUCCCUGGCCCAGUGCAGUGAGUCAGAGGAUCCAGCAUUGCUACUACAGCUUGGAUUCAGUCCCUGGCCUGGGGACUUCCAUAUGCCACAAGUGUGGCCAUUAUAAAAAAAAAAAAAA
rnacentral:lncRNA from 1 species